rnacentral:lncRNA from 1 species
GUCUCUCUCAGCCUGGCUCUCUUGGUCUCUUCCUCUCUGCGUCUCACUCUCUGCCUCCUACCCUGCGUGGCGGCUUCUCCCCCAGCUCCACGGCCGCUCUCGGGAGCAGCGCUACACCAAGCUAGCCGACUGGCAGUACAUCGAGGAGUGCGUGCAGGCCGCCAGCCCCAUGCCCCUGUUCGGUGGGUGUUCCGGGAAGCCACCUCCCUCUCCCCUACCACCCUUGGUCACUCACACCUCUGGGCUGUUCGCCUUCCCACUUGGGACCCCCUCGUACCACCCUGAUGGGAGCCACUGGGUCAGCCAAAACUCCUGAAGGGCUGGUGAGCAGAACUCCAGGGUCCCACCUGCCCAUGUCUCCCUGAGACCCCAGCCUCUGUCUCCUCAGGAAAUGGGGACAUCUUGUCAUUUGAGGAUGCCAACCGCGCCAUGCAGACUGGUGUCACCGGGAUCAUGAUUGCCCGUGGCGCCCUGCUCAAGCCGUGGCUCUUCACGGAGAUCAAGGAGCAGCGGCACUGGGACAUCUCGUCGUCCGAGCGCCUGGACAUCCUGCGGGACUUCACCAACUACGGCCUGGAGCACUGGGGCUCGGACACGCAGGGCGUGGAGAAGACCCGGCGCUUUCUGCUCGAGUGGCUGUCCUUCCUGUGCCGGUACGUGCCCGUGGGGCUGCUGGAGCGGCUCCCACAGAGGAUCAACGA